rnacentral:lncRNA from 1 species
AGUGACAGGUCAUGAAAGAUAAAGCUACAGACCCACUGGAGAUGUGGGCCAGCCGAAGUUUCAACCAGAUGUCGCCAGAGUGGCCAGUCUCCCCCAGGCAAAGCAAAGCAAAGCGAUAGUUCCUGGACAACUCCUUUCGUGGUGGACUUCCUGAGGCCCUCUGCGCCGGCUCCCGGCUCUACAGAGCUUGUUCCUGGGGACCAGUUACUCCAGGCUUUGGAUCUCCCCACCUCAAUAGUUCGCAGGGAAGUUCUCCAUCAUUCCACUGGGGCCAGGCCUUGGGUUCCACUCCAGAAGCCCCGAAGCACCCUUCCUCCUGUCCAGAGUCCUCUCUCCUACCUACUUGGGCUUAGGCUCAGCCCACCUGUGGGCUGGGAGGGGAUGGAAGAGACAGGUGGGCCCCUAGAUGCACUGGCUGGAUUGCAGACAUAUUUAUGCUCCAUUUCUAGUGUCUGGUCCUUCCUGUGGUCCCACUGAUGGGGGAACAGAAAGGAAACAGGAGGGGGCUGGGGUGACAGGCACAGCCCACUAGGCUGCCCUCCUCUGCCUCACCCUCCCUUGCCUGGGCCCCAGCUGAGCCCAUCAUCAGAGGCCUCCAGGAGCUGGGGCCACAGUCUGCGUGGGUCUGCCCCUCCCCUCACCCCAGCCUAGAAGACUCCACCUCUCCCAGGUCCUGGCUGGGAUCCGAAGGCCCCGGGCAAGUGGGGGAAGGGGAGCCACUCCUACUUUCCCAGCAGCUGCUGCUGCCUCUUCCUGUUUUGCUAAAACUUUGGCUCCGGACCCAAGGGGGUGGGGGAAAGUCGCCAGGCGCUCUCGCCCCCCCCCAAAGGUCAAACUCAUCCCCCUGGUCCUCUUAGCUAGUUAUUUAUAGCUCCCCAGGCCCUGGCUGAGGAGCUACAUCUCUCCUCCCCCAAAUGUCAGCAGCUGUGGCCACUGCCCCAGGGAUGCAGCCAGAUGUGCUGAUCACUCCAGAUGCGCAGUGCCAGGAUUUGGGAGCGCAGGCCAGGCCCUUUCUCCUGGACAUUCCCUGCUGCCUGGUUCCUCCUCCACUCUGAGUCAACAAACCUGAGUCCUGGGGGAUGGGGGGACAUCAGGAAGUUCCCACCUAUUUUCUCCACUCCCAUUGCCUGAUCCCAAGACGGGACAGCUCGGGCUAUAGACCCACGUGGAUGUCUUUGCAUAAAUUAGGACAGGACUCAUUUGGAGACUGGAUUUGUAGAAGUCAGCUGCAGUUCAGAGGGACAGAAGGGUCAGGAUGCUGGAUGCUGUCUUCUUACUAACGUCAGCACGGAGAUCCACUCCUGAGAGUCCAGCGUCCAAAGGGCAGGCUCUGCGAUUCUUUUCUUUGGCUACAUCCUGCUCUCCAGGAGAUGAUGAAUUCCCCAGGGAGAGGACUGCAGCUUCCUUUGCCUCUGUGCCAGGAAGUUGCUCAACAAAUAAGAGAUUAUACGUAAUGAAAAAGAGUUGAAGUCAGUGGUGGUCACGUGUGGGUGGAUCCUUCAAGGUUGUAGCAAGGGGAGAAGUCCAAACCCAUCCUAAAAGACACUCCUGGCAAAGAGAGUGUCAGGACCUCCUCAAACGCUUGCCUAGAGAUUCCAAGGCCUGAGAAGGUCCUGCUGCGGCCUGUGGCAAGGCUGAACUCCCGAGCCCACCAGUGGGUGGACCACAGCAUCCCUGCAGGGGCCACUGGAGCACGUAAUUGUGAGCUGGCUACAGAAAGGCAUUUUGCAACUCAGACGAAUUUCUUCUCGCUCACGAUUAGGGUAUGGCCCAGUGGCUGCCUCCCUGACUGUAAUCUCUGCUGGCACAGGCAUCUCCGGGGCUGGGCAGUGGGGGCUGUGGAAGGAGGGCUGACCUAGAAGCCUGGACGCCGGAGUUCUCUGCCCGCUCCUCGCCAGGGAUUAACCAUGGCAUGGCUGGCAGGGAGACUGGGUUCUCAGUUUCCUCAUCUGUAAAAGGAGUGAUGUGAUUAGAUUAGAGCGGCCCAAACCUAACCACACCUUAGGAUUACCUGGGGAGCUUCAGAUUACUAGGUACUCCCUUCACCCCUUGCAUCUGCUGGGGGCUGUGAGAUGGCCCAGGAAUCUGUUUUUCACAGGCUCUUCUACAUGAUUUUUUUUGGGCCACACCCACAGCCUGUGGAAGUUCUGGGGCCAGGGAUCGAACCUGCGACCCUAGCCACUGCAGUGACAAUGCCGGAUUCUUAACCUGCUGAGCCACAGGGAAACUCCUACAGGAUUUUGACAUAAUGUCAAGUAUGGGGGAUCCUACAGACUAUAAAUAUAAAUAGACUGUAAAUAUAAAUCACUUGCAGCUCUUAGGAGAAAAGAUUCUAGUAAAUGGAAUGGCUGUAACAAGAGGCUUUGGUGCUGUGGGAUUUUAUCAGAGGGCAAAUGGUGGGUAGUUUAUUUCAUCAUCAUCAUCACCAUCAAUUACUAUUUUUUCCAGGCCUUUUUUGGCUGCACCUGCAGCAUGCAGAAGCAUGCGGGGCCAGGGAUCAAACCAGCACCCCCGUGGUGACAACACCAGAUCCUUAACCCGCUGCACCACCAGGGAACCCCUCCAGUUUUAUUGAGAUAUAAUUGACCUACAUCACUGUGUAAGGUGUACAGCACAAUUUGAUUUACAUACAUCAGGAAAGGGUUAUCAGACUAAGUUUAGUAAAUAUGUAUCAACUCAUAUAGAUACAAAAUUAAAGAAAUGGAAACACCCUUUUCUUCCUGCGAGCAGAGGACUCGGGAUUGAGGCCCUCGCUUACCUCAAGGCUGGAGCCGGGCUGGGAGAGAAGGGAAGGGAGGAAUGGGCCGUCCCUGUAGGUGGGGCCUCUUGGCACGGGGACCUUUCUCUCUCACUCUCCUGGGUGGAGUUUGGCUGCACGGGCUUUGGCACCAGCCUCUGGAGCUGAGAGAGUGUCUUCCCAUCCGUAUUCCUCCCCCACUUCGGUUUCAGCCCAGAGGACAGCCCCCUUCUCCUCCUCCUGCCCCGACUUCCUCCCCAGGCUCCCUCACCAACCUCAUUCCUAAGCCUCGCUAAUCUGUUUGCCACCCUCUGCUUCCUUGCCUCGCCCUUGCUCAUGCCAUUCUCUCCACCUGGAAUGUCACCCCCGCCCCCCAACACCAAUUCACAUUUCUGGGCUCCUUUGAAACCCAGCUCCAGACUGGCUGACGUCGUUGGGGCUGUGAUCUGCCCAGGUCGCUCCUCUUCGGAGAUAGACUCAUUUAUGCUUGAAAUCACAGAAUCAGAGAACAGCUUUAGACUCAGAAAGAAAUAAGUACAGAUGACCUAAACCAGCUCUCGCAUUCAAUGGACGGAAACCCUGAGGCCCAGAGAGGUCUUGACUUGGCCAAGGUCACACAGUCGUGAGGUUUGCUGGUGGUGGUGGUGGCGGCGAACAGUUGGCUUCACAAGAGGCUUUCAAGUAUCCUACGUCUUUGUUUUAUUUCCUCGACACGUGGUGAUGCCUAUGAGGGCAGAGGUGAUGUUGCUGUUUUAAUUGGUGUUCUUAAGCUCCACGGUGCUGUGUAUGUGCAGGCAACUGUAAUAGUUCUAAAACUCGCAGGGGUGCACAUUUUGCAUAUGAUCUCAGACCAGCCCUGAGCGGUAGGUCACCAAGGCAUUGCUAUCUUACUGAGCAGGAAACUGAGACUUAGAAAGGUGUGACCCAGGAAGUUAAUGGCAGAACCGGGGCCAAAACGCAAGUUCCCUGCCUCCCAGCCUCAGCCCAGGACCCUGACACCCAUGAUGCUGUUCUUCUAGAGCCUUCCUGAGGUUCCCGGCAGGGGACCUAGAGUAGUCAAAGGGGUGGCCUCCGCCGUCUUUCGCCUUCCUUGUGAUUUCUUCACUUUGGGGUUGAGCAGACCUUGCCUCUGGCCUCCUACCCCUCCCCAUCCUGUCCCACCGCGUUCUCCUUGUGUCCCCCCACAGCCUGUUGGCACAUUGACCCAUACGCAUACAUGCUCAGAGCUGCAGGUGUCUAGGGCAACAGACCACAGGGGAAACCACAUCACCUUUGUUGACACUGGAGGGAGGCAGGGGGGCCGGGAAAGAACCUGCUUACGUCUCUCCACCUGCCUCUGUCCCCGCAGUCAUCUCACCUCCCAGCCUGGUGGGUCAUCUGGACUUGACCCAUGGCCCAGCCUCUUCCUGAGGACCCAUCCAAACCUGGCCCGGGAGGAUGUAUCGCCCCUUCUCACAGAUCCUGAAAUCCUGGAGGGAGGUGGGGCGGUCUGCCUAGCUGCACCCCAAAGCCACACCCCCAAUCCUAGCCAGUUUACUGACCUAGCUCCUCUGAUUCCACCUGCGCAGUGCAGCAGACAAAGGUGGAAACCAGGAAUGAGAGGACAUGGCUGGGGGUCGGUAAGGAAGGAAAUUUGACAUCUAGGCCAUCACUCCUACAUCAAAGGGGACCGCUAGGGAGUUCCUGUCGUGGCUCAGCGGUUAAUGAACCCAACUGGCAUCCAUGAGGACGCAGGUUCGGUCCCUGGCCUCGCUCUGUGGGUUAAGGAUCAGGUGUUGCCGUGAGCUGUGGUUUAGGCCGGUGGCUACAGCUCCAAUUAGACCCCUAGUCUGGGAACCUCCACACGCCGCAGGUGCGGCCCUAAAAAGACAAAAAGACACCAAAAAAAGGUGGAGGGGGGACCUCUAGUAACCAGGCUACACGGGAUCUGUGGUGUUUGGACCUGCUGAAAGAAGCUGCACAGGCUCUGAAUCAGGCCCAUUUGGGAUUAAGUCACUUGCUGGCUCUGUGGCCUUGGGCAAAUCAUUUUGUGUUUCUGAGCUUUAGUUUGCUAACUAAAACAAUGGGGAUAAUAAUGAGAUAUAAGUGAAAGGUCCUGGAACAGCACAGGAUACCAAGGAGACGCUCAAUAAAUCCUAAUUACCCUCCCUCCCUCCUUUCCUUCCACUUGUUGCAUCUGGCUCCAUGAAACCCUUUAUUUGGAAUUGGAGCUCUACCUCCCCUAUUUACGUGCAAGUCCAAACCCUGAGCAUUGGCAUCUGAUCCCAGGUUCAGAAACAGGAAUGCACAUCCCCACAGCCCAAGGAAGUGGCUGUCCCUCGGAGCGUGCACCCAGGCCAAGGACGAACACCUUCUGAUCGGCCUUGUGGAGAGGGUGUGAGAAGUCCAGGUUAGGAAAGGGCUUGUGGCUUCAGACACCACAUCGAGAAAGCGGGUCAGGAAUGGUCUCAGAGGCCUGCGGUUUAGACCGAUGCCUUCGGAUGGAGCUUUGAACCCUGGCACAAGGUGGGCGCCCAAUAACACUUGUUGAAUGAACGCAUGGCCUCAGCACUUACUAGUUGUGUAACGUUGGUCAUGUUUCUCAACUUUUAUGAGUCGCACUUUAAUCACAAACAUAACAAGGAUUACUGCUAAGAAUAAAUGAUCUCAUGUUUGCCAGGGGGCUGGCAUAGGGCUGCUGCAUGGCACACAGUCAGUAAAUGGUAGCUAAGUAAGGGGAUGUGAGAUAAACGAGAAAGAGAAGGUCAAAGAGGCUCAGAACCCCAAAGCAAGCGGAAGGUGGCUGCCUUCAGGCUUCGUACUGGCCAGAGACUCCAGGAAGACUCUGGGGAGCCAAGGCAGGUCCUGUGGGGCUAAUCUCUUCUGCUAGGUGCUUAGCUGAGCAGUCUGUGAGAGGCCUGGACUCAAGAGC